UAGACCAUCAUUGACCAACAAACGACCAACAAACGUUUGCAACUCCUAUUGAAUUAAUUCGUCAUAAGUAGGGGCCAAGUAUAGGAAGCUCAAAAACUCGGAAACAAUCAGGAUAAAAUUUUGAAUAAAUCCGGGAUGGUGUUACUUGAGUUUCAUAUUAUAAAGCGCCUCUAGGGUCAGGGAAAGAUAGGGUAAUUGAAAAAUUAAUUGAAAAACAAGAAAAAAUAGGGAAUAAUUCUGGAAUGGUGUAGCUGGGUGGCAUUUCUUGGCACUUUGAUGGUCGCUCUGGUUCACCUUGACAUGCGUGGCUCCACGCGCAACUGACGUUUGCGCGUAACCCCCCAGAUCAGAGAAUUCAUUUAAUUUAUAAUCUCCUAGUGACAUUCGGCAACACUCACGAUGUGCAGCCAUACUCUACUCUCCUCCUUGAACCUCGAAACGAUUUCCAAAAGGUCGUACAGAACACAAGAAGUGCAAGUUUGGUGUACCCUGAGCUCAACAGGCUUAAAAAACAUUCACGUGUUACCUGCAUCUCGAAGGCCUCUGUACAGCUCUGUUCAGCUAUUUAUUCGCUUGAAGUAAACCUAGGAAGUUUUAUUCUAUGUAUAGAAGACACAGAUCAAACAGGACUCGUACCAGAUGCUAGCGGUGAACUCCAAGGGGAUCUAUUUUCUGCUGAAAUCCUCCUGGACAAAGACCCGACAAGCUACUUAAGUUCCAUCAUAUUUUCUUACCUCUCUCUCAUUUUUAUUUUUCAGGAGAGCAUUGGGCAGUCUCUGAAGCAACAGUGGCACCGCACCCGCAUAGGAAAUACAGGACUAUCCUUGAUGCAUUUACACCACUGGACUAUACAAAUCCUGUACUUUGGUGAUUUAUACAUCGAAUCAUCAUGUGUUCCAAGUGGAUAAUUAUGUAGGAAUGAAUUAUAAUGUAUACGUCUCGUAUCUUAGAGAACAAGAAAUGAAUAAUUUUAUGUUAAUUGAAAUGAAACUAUCGUCCAUAGUCUUGUAACGCAUUAGUCAUAAGUAUACAAAAAUGAAUUUAUAUUGUCCAUUGCAAAGUCUCAAUAUGUAUUCUUGACGAUUAAUUUAUUAAUAAAAACUCAUCGUAACCAAUA
rnacentral:misc_RNA from 1 species